UCUCCGUCCUCGAGCCCCACGCCACUCUUCAUCCCUCUCCACGCCGUCCCACCUCCCCUACUCCUCAAUCCUCACGGCCUCUCCCACCGCCGCCUUCUCUCCCAGGCCUCCCCGACGCUCGAGGUGCAGCAGAGGGGGCACCACUAUGUUCUCAAUCCAGCUAGAUUGGGAUCGGGCGCAGGUCGCCGGCGUCCGACGCCGCGCGGUGUGAUUUGGGAUCGGGUGCCAAUCUCCACAAGGAGAUUAGGAGUGGAUGCUGCAGGGAGGGUAGGCAGCAGAGGAGCCCGUCCUGGUCGAGCCCCCACCCCGACGGGUGCCUGCAGAGGAGGAGAGGCCGAGGAUGGCUCCCAGUACAUGGAGGAGACGCCCAACACAGAUGAGGUAGUGGAGAAGGUUGUCCCCGGAGAGGCAGCAUGGUGGCCUGCACCGGUGCCUCUCCCAUCUAUGCGUCUACCGAGGAUGGAUGGCACCAUGUGGGUUAGGAGGCCGUCAUCGCCCCUUGCAGGCAUGAUUCGUCACCUCUGUCGCCCCCGCGUGCCGUGACUCAUUGGUCACUGUUGGGCUACUGCCGUAGUCCUGCUCCUUGAUGGAGCCUUCCUCCUUUGGCUACGUCUUCCUUCUCUGGCAACGCCUCUCUCGACUUCAGAGGUUCGUGGUUUUACAUUCAAAAAUAAAUAUGCACCUAAGAGAAGGUAGAGGAGUAUUGUUAAUAUCUGGAAUCUAAUUUAAUUGUGGUUCUAUACUGUUGUCAUAACUAAGGAUUGAUGGAUAUAGAAAAUAUAUGUGACCCUCUGUCCUCAGGUCCUUCACCAUCCACAAAUAAUCAGGUUCGACUACCUGCUUGGUCAGUUGUCUCUCUGUAGUAAACAAAAUUUUGCAAUUGAACAAGCUAAUUUUACAACUAAUAGUCCAUCAACUUUAAUCUUGGGCUUUUAAAAACUGCAGAAUACCCCACCGUUGGUCGAGGUCCCUUAUAGGACAAUACUUGAUUUUUUUUCUAAACAAUCUGGAGCUACCACAAGCUGAGUACCAUGCAGGAUAUGUGAGGGACAAACAACAGCAAGGAGAUCAUUGUUUGCCACAACACGAACCGCAACCACGGCAUUGAUGUCUUGUUUGCUACUAUGACUACUUUCACCUUAACAACAAAUAGCAAUCUAAUUCAAGGUGUCGUUCAAAAUGCAGGUAAGCAACUAAGGACGUGAGAAGGGCCUUCACACCGAUCUCAGACAAACAAACCUUUUGAAGCCAAUGAAGAAGCUACCAACCAUCUUCUGUUCCCAAACAAUCUUUUCUUCUCUCCACCUUAGCGUGUUCUAUGUUUCAUUGAUGUUCCUGUAAUAAAACAGAGUUGGUAUCAGACAUAUAUUUCCUAUAUUUAUGAUGAUCUUCCUUAUGUAUAUAAAAUUAUAUUCUAUAUAGCUCUUCAAUCAAAUGUGUUAUAUAGGAGAAAUGAUAUAAAGUCAGGCCUAUUUUCCCAAAUAACUAUUGCUCUUGUGCAGGGUGUCCUAGCGCAUGUCGUCUCGGUGGAAUAGCAGGGGUGGCAGGGUCACCACAGCGGGGUGGACAACAAGAAAGGGUGAGGAGGUUGGCAGUGGGUGAGAAGGAGCAGCAAAGUCGGACGUGGCAGGAAGGAGCGCUGAGGCCAUGGUGGAGGAUAGGCCAGCGAUGGGUGCAAGGAGCUACGUGAGCAAAGCUACAGGCGGUGCUCCGCCGCGAUAGGUUGGAGCUACGGGGAGGGGAAGGCGACCAAUGACAGAGAUCAGAAAGCAUGUCGUUGCGGGUGCUAGCAGCAGGGUAACAUAAACAAGAAGUGCAUUGAAGGUAGCGAAAGAAUUUCCAAUGUUCUGGAGUACACCAAUUGAUGAGAGCCUUUUGAAACUAUUGAAUAUCAGCAAGUUGAAUGAUGAAUAGUUUUCUAAUGAAGAAAAAAUUCAUGAUAUUGUUGGAUUACUUAUGAAUGGAAUUGAUUUUCAUAACCAGAGGAAGGCAAGUGCUACAUUGUCAAAUAUUGAUACUUCCUUUUCAUGCCAGAUCAGAGUCCUGAUUCCUUGCUGAACCAUUUGCUCUGGAUAUAUGUACCAUUUUCUAAUAUCUGACAGUUAUAUUGGUUGCACUAGCUUUUGGCAUAUAAUUUGAAGGGUAUUCGUCCCAUAUGAUCAGUUCUGCGGCUUGCACUCAUUUUACUGCCAUGAAUGGUGUAAGUCUCCCUCUCUCUCUCUCUCUCUCUCUCUCUCUCACACACACACACACACACACACACACACACACACACACACACUGUGUGUGUGUCAUUCUCUCUCAGAUUUGAAGGUAAGUUAUUAUUUCGUGUUAUCAAUCAUGGGGAUUUUAUGAUUUCUACUUAUUUCCGUGGUGGCCAAUUAAAAUCUGGCAAGGAGGUCGCUAUCCAUCUACUUCCAUAAUGUCGAACCUCCAACUGAUUUUUCUUUUCCAAUAGGAUAUGCAUUUGAUCCAGUCCAUGUCUUGGCCUCUUUUUGACGUGUGUAUACCAAUGUUCUUCUUGCAGGUAUUGUUCAAUCCGCCAGUAGCUAGCGGAUGUCAUGUUGUGAUUAAGGUUUGCCACCUUCCUCUACUAAAUCGGUUCGUUUUAUGUGACAUUCUUAGAAUACUAUGUGCUUACUCUGUUUGGCUAAAGCAUGGUGAAUCUGAUGUUGACCAACAUUAUUUGUGUUGCACAUUUACAACAAUAACUGUCAGACAAGAGAAUUGCUCACCAAUCCUUAGGUUCAGAAGCAUGUGUACCGAUUUUUUGUUAGGCAUCAACUUUUGUUUGCAUCAAAUUAGAACUUGGGCCUUGCCUUCAUCAAGUGUCUCUAAUGCUUACCAAUAUUCAAAAUAUAGAGAUCAACACUGAAGCAUUAGGCAUUGGUAUGUCAACUAAAUUGGUUCAGAAUAUAAUACUUACCCAACAUUCUUGGACAUAGUGGGUCGUAUUAUUGACCCAGUUGUCGACUUUUGACUAGGUGGAUGUGUGGAGAUAGAAAUGUUUUGCAUUUAUGGUGGCAAAGCUGGUUAGCAUCUAGAUAAAUGUCAAGAGAAAAUGAUAGUAAAAGGUCUUAAGGUUACACCUUGAGAUAUGCAGCCAUUGUGUUUCUUAUACCAGUCCAUUAUAUGAUGUUUUAUUAAUUUCUUUGUAUGGACUACAACUUUUGAAUAGCAUCUCCCAAUUCAUUACCUUCCGGUUUUUGAAUAUCUAUUGACGCCAACAGUCUAGCAUUCUCCAAAAACUUACAAUGAUCAGUAGUUCAUCUAUAAAUUAAAUGGGGGGUAUUUAUUAUUAUUUCAGAACUGUAAGAUUUUUUUUCUUGGAAUAUAUGGAUUAACCUAAGACUGGAUAUAAGAUUUUUUUCUCUUCUUUAAGAAGUGCCAUGUAUUACUUGUUUUCUGAAAUAAUUCCUUUUGUUUUCGCUUUUCACUAUCAUUGCUAUUUAUGCUUCUUUAGCAAUGGGAUCAGUCAUUUUGUGCUGCCUUUUAGCUAGAUGCUGAUCGCUAUUGGUCUCUUCAAUAGUGAGAUGGAGAUCAUAAAUGCAUCCUUGGUUUCCGUCUUCUUGAUAUCGUUGAUAAACUGUUGUUCAAUAUUUUAUCUUUGAGGGGUCUAUUGUUGCUUUGGCUUGGCUCUAAUUAUAUGUGAUGCGAUUUGUUUCUUUUGCUGGGCCCUAAUUCUUACCUACCUUUUCCCUUGGGCUUAUUCCCUGGUAUGAACAUCUUAUGUAUUCACCCAUUUGUGUAGAAUUGUGAUAUGUUAGCCAGGGUACUUUUGUAAUUAUUACAGUUUUACAAAUAGGAGAAGGGGAUAAGAGCUAUUGAAGAAAAUACACCGUGUUAUCACUCUUAAUUAAUUAAGUGAGAAUAUAGAACUGAACAGUUACUCCUUAACUCCUUAAAUACAAUUUUGUUUGGGUAAUUUGCAUCGCUAGAAGGAAGCGACUCAGAUCAUAUACUUUUCAUAUUACAUGGUUAGAGCCUUAUGUAUAAAAUAUUGUGCUUUCAACAUCUAUUCAUGGCAUUGCAUGCAUUCUAUCUGUGUGUACUUUUGAUUAUUAUAGGACUAAUAUUUUCAGAAAAUUAUGUAUAUAUGGUCAUGUCAGGACAAAAUAUUUGUUGUUGGCCAUGAACAACGGAUGCGUGAUGGGGACUGGUUUCAUAAAACUGAUAAAUGUGAACAUGUUCGUUGUUUGGACAUUACACCGCCAUAAUUCAAUAGUAUGGUAAGAUUCACAAGGCAAUAUAAAUAGUCAUAUAUGCUUAGUUUAUGUAUUUGCUGAUUCAGGUGCCCGCCAUCAAUGAAGACAAAGAAUACCAGGUAGCAAACGAACAAAAAUGAUCCUGACCUUUGAGGGCAAAAUAUAUUCUACAAAGAAUCUUUAUCAGCAAAGGGCAGAGAAGAUUGUCAAUGUCAACGACCAGUUAUUUUGUUCAGUAGGUGUUCCCUUCCAAUGAGGCUCCAGCCUGAGCAAGGGCAUGGUAGCAGAUAUCGACCGGUUGGUUGAUUUUGUGCACCCAUCCUGCAAAUUCAACGUAAAGCUUCAGAAAGUGUGUUCAUUGUCCUCUCCAUUUCAAACAAACUAUUAGCUGGUUCUUUAAUAUGAUUAUUACUUUUAUCAUACUGUAGAAUUUGUUUCUCGGUUAUCUAAAACUUAUAGCUAUUAAAGAAAGCCCUUGGUUUGUAUUUGGUAGUUGUGCCAUUUGGUGGAACUGUAUGAGAAAAUAGUGAGAGAAUGUUGGUAGAAAUUAUGAGUGAUGUAAUUACAUAGAGAGAAGUACUCACAUGUCACAUCAUAUUCCCCCAUGCUCAUCUUCAACUGCAACAACUGUUGAAGUUACUUUUAGUUCAA